CAAUUGUUGGAGCAGAGUUUACUUGCUCUACAGACUGCCUGCAUUUGCAGUGGCUCAAAGAAGGGUUCAAGGAAAAGAUGUCUAAAUCGAGGACAUUUUGGCGUAUGUUACAAGCAAAUAAAUUGGAUUAUAACAUUUUAAGAGCAAAGAAGACCUCCAGAAGCAAAUAUUGACAGACAGGUACAGUGCAGUGAUUUUUAUAUUGUUUGAUCAUGCAGUUUGAUCUUUUUCAGUUUUAUUCUUAAGUGUACUAUGGCAAACAAUUAGUCAGUUUAAUAAGACAUUACAUAGGUGUUGCUGAAACCUACAGAAUGCUUAAUUUUUGCAGAUAUAUGGAAUGCCUAAUUUUUGCAGAUAUAAGCGAACUGAACAAAAGCACUAUAAUCUAGAAGAUCCAGAAAAAAAGAAAACAAACUGCAUAUGUGGUUGAAGCUGGACCUAAGUUAUGGUAAUCAUAACAGAGUGUAAAUUGGAC